rnacentral:misc_RNA from 1 species
AGAACGCAUACCAUGACUAAUGAGAAUGAAUUUUUUGUAUAAAUCUUAAAUAUAUUCGAUGUAAAAUUUUUAGUAAUUAAUCAGAAGUGAAAGUGUUCGGCUGAUAGAAGGAAAAAGUUGUGUUGUGAGCUGUGUUGCUGGGAUCCUUAUAAACGGCAACAUUUUUACAAUUUCUAUCUACGAUGCAACCAUUUGCGGGUAACACAAUGGCGACCGAGACACCAAGUCUGUCACCUGAGAGGGUAACUUCCCCAACGCCUUGCCGAAAUCUUACAUUUUCCAUUGCAAAAAUUAUGGAACCGGACAAACGAUUGACCGAGCAAAGCGCUAAUCCGGUGCCUCCACCACCGCCAGCGAUGCCAGCGACAACAACGACAACGAUUCUUCAGCUGCCAAACAUUUCUUCCCCAUCAUACUCGGCGCAUUUGAAGUCGGCGUUUGAGAAGUAUGUACCGACCUUGAGGCAUCAAGAUUUGCUCCAACAUUAUCCCGUAUUAUCUAAAUAUUAUCCAUUGUACUAUCCGAAUCCCUUGCUGAGGGCGUUCCCAGGCCCUCCCGCUUCGACCCCAUCGAUCACUCAGAAUUCGCCACCUCCCACAACUAUUCAAGAGGCUUCUUCGAGAUUGAAUCUAACCAACAUAUCACCAGAAAAUCAGCGGGGCAAGAAGAGCCCAGCGCCGCGUAGUGACCUCGGUACUGCGAAUAAGCAAAAGACUUUCACUUGUCCGGAAUGCGGCAAGGUGUUCAAUGCACAUUAUAAUUUAACUAGACACAUGCCAGUGCAUACGGGCGCCCGACCAUUUGUUUGCAAGAUUUGUGGCAAAGGUUUCCGUCAAGCCAGCACUCUUUGCCGACAUAAGAUCAUCCACACCGCUGAAAAGCCGCACAAGUGCGUGACAUGCGGCAAAGCCUUCAAUCGUAGUUCUACUCUCAAUACCCAUACACGUAUACAUGCCAAUUUCAAACCGUUUGUCUGCGAGUUUUGCGGCAAGGGUUUUCACCAAAAGGGUAACUAUAAGAACCACAAGCUCACACAUAGCGGCGAGAAAGCGUACAAGUGCAACAUAUGCAAUAAAGCGUUUCAUCAAAUCUAUAAUCUGACAUUCCAUAUGCACACACACAAUGACAAGAAACCGUUCUCCUGCAAGAUCUGUGGCAAAGGCUUUUGUAGAAACUUUGACCUCAAGAAACACAUGCGGAAACUGCAUGACGCGAGUUCACCAGUGCUUAGCGGAUUGGAUGCCUCGGGCCAGAGUCAUAAUCAACAAUCGAGCUUUUCGUCAGUAUAUCACGGCCCGGAACAUUCUAUCGUCAGUCCAUUUAUACUUCCUCCACCUGGAUCCACCAGUUACCACUCUUUGAGUAAGAUGUUGUGACAAAGCGAGAAUAUGCACUAUUCCAGGAAAACUCAAUAUCCGCUCAUUCUUGGCUCACCUUGUUAUUCAAAUGAUAUAGAUUCGAUGAUCCUUCUCCAGGAUUUAAGUAUGCGCA